GAGUUUGAUCCUGGCUCAGAUUGAACGCUGGCGGCAUGCCUUACACAUGCAGGUCGAACGGCAGCACGGGAGCUUGCUCCUGGUGGCGAGUGGCGAACGGGUGGGUAAUGCAUCGGAACGUAUCCUGGAGUGGGGGAUAACGUAGCGAAAGUUACGCUAAUACCGCAUAUUCUGUGAGCAGGAAAGCGGGGACCUUCGGGCCUCGCGCUCUUGGAGCGGCCGAUGUCGGAUUAGCUAGUUGGUGAGGUAAAGGCUCACCAAGGCGACGAUCCGUAGCAGGUCUGAGAGGAUGAUCUGCCACACUGGAACUGAGACACGGUCCAGACUCCUACGGGAGGCAGCAGUGGGGAAUUUUGGACAAUGGGGGCAACCCUGAUCCAGCCAUGCCGCGUGAGUGAAGAAGGCCU
rnacentral:rRNA from 1 species